CAGUCGCCGCGGUAAUACGUAGGUGGCAAGCGUUGUCCGGAAUUAUUGGGCGUAAAGGGCUCGCAGGCGGUUUCUUAAGUCUGAUGUGAAAGCCCCCGGCUCAACCGGGGAGGGUCAUUAGAAACUGGGUAACUUGAGUGCAGAAGAGGAGAGUGGAAUUCCACGUGUAGCGGUGAAAUGCGUAGAGAUGUGGAGGAACACCAGUGGCGAAGGCGACUCUCUGGUCUGUAACUGACGCUGAGGAGCGAAAGCGUGGGGAGCGAACAGGAUUAGAUACCCCCGUAGUCCCUGUCUCUUAUAC
rnacentral:rRNA from 1 species